rnacentral:lncRNA from 1 species
GCUGCAAAAUCUUUCAUUUCCUCAUCCCCUCACAUAACUUCCAAUCUUCUUGGCCUGGCACUAAGGACCUACUACAGACUGGCACUGAAAUAUCUUCCCUACCUUAUCAUUCCUUGUGCUUCUCCACAAGCCCACUCUUCCCCUUCAUCAUACAUGUGCCGACCUUUCCUGUCUCUUUUACUUUGCAGCACCAAAUGCUUUCUACUUUGUGGUCUAGGAGGAACACAUGUCACUUUUGUAAGCUGCUCGAAAGCAGGGGCCACACCUUCAUCCUUGUUUUCCACACAACACCAAGCACUUAGUAGACACCCAAUAAAUCAUUGCUGAAUGAAUGUAUUCAGCCUGGAAUUGCACUAGGAUUUUUUGGCCAACACAUUGUAUUCUUAACUGAUACCAGACUUCCAAUCAAAUAAAAUCCUUAAGCCUUUUUCAUAGUCUUUAAUUAAACUACUUCUCUUCCAUUAUUUCCCUUUGCCUACUUUUGAACUGAUAUUCAGAACUUUUCUGUUAAUGUUUAAUUUUCAUCCAUUAUUCUUGUCUGUACAGAUCUUUUUGAUUUUUGACUCUCUUAUCUAGUUUUUUUUUUUUUUUUUUGGCUUCCCGUUGUGUUAUCCACAGGCACAAUGGGUAUAUUGACUAUCGUUCAUUGAAGUUGUUGAUACAAAUGUUGAACAGGAGAAAAACCAGUAGCUUGCCAACUUGGCACCUCAUUCUCUAGCUUGACAGUAAUCUCUUAUCUAGUAGUUUUUAGAUAUGGUUAUUUAAUCAAAUAUCACUAGCUUCUAAUUUUGUUAUAAUUCAUUCAUGUAUACAGACAAUGAAGAAUCAUCUUUCUUCAUUCAACACAUUUAUUGGGAACCAAUCAUUGUCCAAGGCAAUAUGCUAGGCAUUGUGUAAUAGAAAGCGAUUAAGCUUUUACCCCUGUCCUCUUUGGCCUGCAAAGAGCAGGUAAGAUUCAUGCACAGACAAAUGUAGUACCAGGUAAAUAGUGAGGCCAAACACAAGAGGCAGGUCAAAGGGCUUUGGAUUCAGAGGAUGGAGAAGCUCUUUCUAGGCUGGUGAAAUAUUUGCAGAAUGAGUAGGCUCAUAAGUGGAGGUGAGGUACAGGCUAAGCUGCUGUAAGAAAGAGUCCAAAAUGCAAAGGAUUUACCACAAUGCAGUUAAUUUUUCUCACAACGGUCGAGGUAGGCAGGUGGUCCAAGUCCAGUUAAUCAGCCCUCCUCAACACAAGGCUUCCCCUUGUAAGCUCAGGAUGACCGCUCCAGUUCUCAUCAUCUCCCAGGCAGAAAAACGGGAGAAAGAGAACUAGACGUACCACCCAGUCAUUUUAAGGACAUAGCCAGGCCAGGUGCAGUGACUCACAUCUGUAAUCCAAGCACUUUGGGAGGUCGAGGCUGGAGGAUAGCUUGAAGCCAGGAGUUUGAGACCAGCUUGGAUAAGAAAGCAAGACCUUGUCUCUACAAAAAAUUUAAAAAUUAACCAUGUGUGGUGGUGUGCACCUAUAGUCCCAGCUACUCAGGAGGCUGAGGUGGAAGGAUCACUUGAGCACAGGAGUUGGAGGAUACAGUGAGCCAUGAUCACACCACCUCACUCCAGCCUGGGCAACAUAGUGAGACCCCAUCUCUUUAAAAAACAAAACAAAAAAACAUCACCAGGAAGUUGCUUACAUGUCUUCUAUUCCUAUAACAUCGGCCUGAGCUUAGUCACAUGGCCACACCCAGCAGAAAGAACUCUAGGAAAUAUGGUCUUAUGCUAGGUAACCCCAAACCCAGCUAAAACUGUUGCUUUUGAAGAAGGGUGAAACAGACAAUGUGGAGGAGAAUUACCAGUCUGCCACAAAGAGAAAGAAUUCUAUGUGAGGAAAACGCUCUAGAAGAGGGAGCUGAUUAAUUAGUUAUAUCUCAGCCGAGAGGAUGUUAUGAGAAACACAGAUUUGGGUUUAAUAGAAAAACUUAGAACCCUUCAAGAAGGAAUGGGCGGACUUGAGAGUGUCCUCCGCUUCUGAAAAUGAUCAAGAAAAAUGGUAAGAAUGUACACCUCAAGGGUGGAUGGUAAAGGUCAGCCUUUAAGCCUCAAUGGCGGUGUGGUUGUAGGUGGGGUGGGGGUGGAGGCCCCGAAGACAGGCAGACUACCACAGUAGCCCCGAUGGAAGCAGUGAGAAUGAACUGGAAGGAGCGGCUGUGGGAGCGACAACGUGAUGAGAAUAAACCCGGCUUGGCUCUGCCCUGUGCACACACAGGUGAGCUGUGUGCUCCCGGAUGUGUCAGCUGGUAUAUGCGUCUGUCAGAAGGCAGCUGGGGAGCACUGUUAGCUCAGAGACUAAGAGGCAGACCCAGGAAGCCCUUCUUUGCAUUGGUCAGGGUUUGCUGCAUUUUCCCAAGCCCAGGAAAUGGAACCCAGUUCUUCUUCUUUCUGUGUAAAAUAAUAAGCAUCACAAUAGGCUGUGCUCAUGAGAACGCAUUUUGUUUCCACAGAAAUGUUUUUUCUCACUCUGUCCUGAUUUUGAUUUCUGUUAAACUCAGUAAACACAUUACCAAAUUUUAAAAUAAGGUGACUUGUUUUCCCCAACUCACAGUUCACCAAAGGUAUUUCAUCUGUUUGUUCUGAAAAUGCAGCUGCUGUCUAGAUUUAUGUGUGCUCUGACAAGAAAUGUUUUGUGUAACAAUAAAAAUCAUUUCCUUUGAUGA